UGCUGCCCUGGUGACCACACUUUAGGAAUAGCCACCCUAAUGCAAUUAUAGACAAUUAGGAGAAUAUCUGAUUCACAUUACUAAGCCAAUGGGAACCUGUUAAGUUCAUGAACCUGGAGUCAUCCCAAAAAGUGCUGUGAUUCCUGCACAAAAAUAAGCCUAAAAGAAGUUGAAGGAGGAAAAGAGUCCUUCAAAAUGUGGAGAAGUUAAACAAGGAGAUACACCUCAUCAGGAUUAACGGCUGAGAUUUCCUUGCUGAUACUAAGCUGGGAUUUUCAGAAAUGAUUUCUGAAGGCAAUUAAUACAGUAUAUAUCAAUAAA